GGCUGAAGAUGUAGCUCAGUGGUAAGAGCAUUUGCCUAGUAUGCAUGAGGUCCUGGGUUCAAUUCCCAGUGCCA